rnacentral:rRNA from 1 species
CCUACGGGGGGCAGCAGUGAGGAAUAUUGGUCAAUGGACGAGAGUCUGAACCAGCCAAGUAGCGUGAAGGAUGAAUGCCCUAUGGGUUGUAAACUUCUUUUAUAAAGGAAUAAAACGAGGCACGUGUGCCUUUUUGCAUGUACUUUAUGAAUAAGGAUCGGCUAACUCCGUGCCAGCAGCCGCGGUAAUACGGAGGAUCCGAGCGUUAUCCGGAUUUAUUGGGUUUAAAGGGAGCGUAGAUGGGUUGUUAAGUCAGUUGUGAAAGUUUGCGGCUCAACCGUAAAAUUGCAAUUGAUACUGGCAGUCUUGAGUACAGUUGAGGUAGGCGGAAUUCGUGGUGUAGCGGUGAAAGGCUUAGAUAUCACGAAGAACCCCGAUUGCGAAGGCAGCUUACUAAACUGUGACUGACAUUGAUGCUCGAAAGUGUGGGUAUCAAACAGGAUUAGAUACCCGUGUAGUC